UUUUUUUUUUUUUUUUUUUUUUGCGCGAUAGAAGAGUUGUGGUCAGACCAAAAACAAAACGAAGAAAAAGAAAAGAAGUGAUUGUCGUGUUUGAGCAGAAAGCGAGAGAAGGGUAUCUGGUUUUGUUUUGAUAAGAUCGACUUUGUAGCUUGAGUGGGUGCAGAAGAAGACCUGCGCUAGCUGCUAUAUCCUUUCAGUAUAUAGGCGAAUCGAGCUUCAUCUUCGCUGUUCUGUGUGAUCAAAUUUUGCCAUCGACGUCAACGAUCGUGAAAGCUUUGGUGGGAUUUCAAUUAGUGCUUUGCGUUUUGAGUGGUUCGAGUUUAUGACGGGAAGAUUGGGUUGAAAACAAAUAGAAUAGGUGUGCAGAUUUUGCAAUUCAUGAUGAGCAUGGAGGUUGAUUAGCUGCAGAAUAUGCCAAGAAGGAUUUGCAUACAUUUGAUUGAGAAAGCAGCCCAGAAAGCCAUUCUGCAUGGGGCUAUGGCUGGUUGCUUCUUAUGAAUUAGCAAGCCUUAAAGCAUUUUUUAGUGGAUAAAUAAGUGGAUGGUGCACUUCAGCAACUCAUCUUCAACAUUUUUCGAUAGCUUCUGCAAUGACCAUAAAAUUCCUACAAGAUCUACAGAGAUUGGAAGCAGUUCUAUAUGUUUCAAGAGUACAUCAACACAAUUAAUGAUCAGUAAUAGUUCUGUAUCAAUGUUCACACCUCACAGGAUUGUAGUUACAGUUGCCACUGAUUUUGGAGUGAAACCUACUUUUGCUCUUUGGGUUUAACAUAAACAUACUACUACGCCUACUAUGUAACAUUAAAAGAUCAAUUGUGUUACAACUUUAACUAUCAUAUAACAAUGAUUCCCGCAGCAAAGCGCGGGCUUACUUUCUAGUAAUAUACAUCCAUGUUCAUCUC